UGUCCUUCCAGCAAAUACAUGUCCCACAAGU
rnacentral:piRNA from 1 species